rnacentral:pre_miRNA from 1 species
UUAGUACUCCCUCCGUCCAGAAAUACUUGUCGAAGAAAUGCAUAAAAAUGGAUGUAUCUAGAACUAAAAUACGUCUAGAUACAUCCAUUCCUCCGACAAGUAUUUCCGGACGGAGGGAGUAUUAG